UUAUACACAGGGAAUGUGGCUGAUUUAUUUAUGAAAUGAUUGGUUAGGCCUGGGAUCGACUCAGCCCGAACCAAAAAUUGAUAAAAUUCAUCACAGCCAAUGUUGUAGCACUAACAAUACAUGGAAGAUGGCAUUCAUUACACAGCACAUAUGCAAUAUAAUUCCUUUUUGAAUUGCCUGGAUAUACUAAGAUAAGGUCGGAACUUAAAUUUUCUUCUUGAAGAUGGAUCUAGAGAGGUAAUAGCUCGUGUGUCUACCUUUUUUGGCCAACAUGAUUUGAUACGCAUAUGGAAACAUGCAACUUGAUUUAAUAUUCAAAUCUCAGAUGGUUAAGCUCAUUCCUGUGAGCGACAUUUAUAAGAUCUAUUGUAGCAGUAGUGGGAUUUAAGUUCCAACUCAAUAUUUUCCUGCAAGUGACAUUUAUUGGAUCUUUUGUAGCAGUAGCAGGAUUUAAGUUCCAAGUCAAUGUAUUCUCCUGUUGGUGGUUAAUGCUCUCUGUCCUUUCAUCAGGAAUGUGGUAGCAAAAGGAAUUCAAGCUAGUAAUUUGUAUUUGGCUAAGGCAUGGUUUCAAAGUUCUCAAACCAAUGACAAGGAGCCGGUCAUCUGAACUAAGGUAAUCUUUUUCCGGUCCUGUUGGCAGGACUUCCAUGCAAACAAAGUAGGCUUGAUGUUUGGGUUGGUGUAGGAAACAAAACCUACAGCAAGUGUGCAUUCCAUUUCCCUCUUUGUUGCUCCAAAUCAUGAGUGAGAUACAUAUUUCUCUUUUUUUCUGCUCCAAAUAAUGAGUGAGAUGUGUUCACACAUCUCACUUAACCAUUGCCAAGAUUUCAUUGACCUGUUGUUCCAAAAGGUUAAAAGCAGAGUUAUUUCUGUUUUUGUUUUUGGGUUCAA